UACGUAGGGUGCAAGCGUUGUCCGGAAUUAUUGGGCGUAAAGAGCUCGUAGGCGGUCUGUCGCGUCUGCUGUGAAAACUCGGGGCUUAACCUCCAGCCUGCAGUGGGUACGGGCAGACUAGAGUGCGGUAGGGGAGAUUGGAAUUCCUGGUGUAGCGGUGGAAUGCGCAGAUAUCAGGAGGAACACCGAUGGCGAAGGCAGAUCUCUGGGCCGUAACUGACGCUGAGGAGCGAAAGCGUGGGGAGCGAACAGG
rnacentral:rRNA from 1 species